rnacentral:rRNA from 1 species
GACGAACGCUGGCGGCGUGCUUAACACAUGCAAGUCGAACGGAACGGCCCUGCCUUGUUGGGGUGCUCGACGGGCGAACGGGUGAGUAACACGUGAGUUCCCUGUCCCUGACUUUGGUAUAACCUCAGGAAACUUGGGCUCAUACCGGAUAGGAGCUCCUGCUGCAUGGUGGGGGUUGGAAAGUUUCGGCGGUUGGGGAUGGACUCGCGUCUUAUCAGCUUGUUGGUGGGGUAGUGGCUUACCAAGGCCUUGACGGGUAGCCGGCCUGAGAGGGUGACCGGCCAAAUUGGGACUGAGAUGCGGCCCAGACUCCUACGGGAGGCAGCAGUGGGGAAUAGUGCACAAUGGGCGGAAGCCUGAUGCAGCAACGCCGCGUGCGGGAUGACGGCCUUCGGGUUGUAAACCGCUUUCGCCUGUGACGAAGCGUGAGUGACGGUAAUGGGUAAAGAAGCACCGGCUAACUACGUG